UACAUGGGGUGCAAACGUUGCUCGGAAUUAUUGGGCGUAAAGCGCGCGUAGGCGGUUACUUAAGUCGGAUGUGAAAGCCCUCGGCUUAACUGAGGAAGUGCACCCGAAACUGCGAAGCUUGAGUACAGAAGAGGAUCGCGGAAUUCCCGGUGUAGAGGUGAAAUUCGUAGAUAUCGGGAGGAACACCAGUGGCGAAGGCGGCGAUCUGGGCUGAUACUGACGCUGAGGUGCGAAAGCGUGGGGAGCAAACAGG
rnacentral:rRNA from 1 species